rnacentral:lncRNA from 1 species
AGUGUUCAGGAGGGUUAGUUUUAGACCUGCAGCUUCUAGGUUGGUAUGUUCUCUUUUUCAGAUAGAAGAAACACUAGUAGCAAGUUGAUGAGGUCUGAGAUUUCCAGGUAGCUGCUGCUGCUCUGUGCUAGUAGUGUUAUCCCUGACACCACGCAAAUUUUUCUAAACUGAAAGAUAUGCACAUUCUGGUGUUAUCUGUCCUUCGCAAGCGCUGCGGAGUUCAUUUUUCUUACAUAUAAUCUUACAUUCUGAUCA